rnacentral:rRNA from 1 species
ACGGAGGGUGCGAGCGUUAAUCGGAAUUACUGGGCGUAAAGGGCACGCAGGCGGCCUGUUAAGUCAGAUGUGAAAUCCCCGGGCUUAACCCGGGAACUGCAUUUGAAACUGUCAGGCUUGAGUCUUGUAGAGGGGGGUAGAAUUCCAGGUGUAGCGGUGAAAUGCGUAGAGAUCUGGAGGAAUACCGGUGGCGAAGGCGGCCCCCUGGACAAAGACUGACGCUGAGGUGCGAAAGCGUGGGGAGCAAACAGG